GGUUUACCUGUGUGACUGCGUACCUUUUGUAUAAUGGGUCAGCGACUUAUAUUCUGUAGCAAGGUUAACCGAAUAGGGGAGCCGGAGGGAAACCGAGUCUUAAUUGGGCGUUAAGUUGCAGGGUAUAGACCCGAAACCCGGUGAUCUAGCCAUGGGCAGGUUGAAGGUUGGGUAACACUAACUGGAGGACCGAACCGACUAAUGUUGAAAAAUUAGCGGAUGACCUGUGGCUGGGGGUGAAAGGCCAAUCAAACCGGGAGAUAGCUGGUUCUCCCCGAAAGCUAUUUAGGUAGCGCCUCGUGAACUCAUCUCCGGGGGUAGAGCACUGUUUCGGCUAGGGGGCCAUCCCGGCUUACCAACCCGAUGCAAACUGCGAAUACCGGAGAAUGUUAUCACGGGAGACACACGGCGGGUGCUAACGUCCGUCGUGAAGAGGGAAACAACCCAGACCGCCAGCUAAGGUCCCAAAGUCAUGGUUAAGUGGGAAACGAUGUGGGAAGGCCCAGACAGCCAGGAUGUUGGCUUAGAAGCAGCCAUCAUUUAAAGAAAGCGUAAUAGCUCACUGGUCGAGUCGGCCUGCGCGGAAGAUGUAACGGGGCUAAACCAUGCACCGAAGCUGCGGCAGCGACGCUGAUGCGUUGUUGGGUAGGGGAGCGUUCUGUAAGCCUGCGAAGGUGGCCUGUGAGGGUUGCUGGAGGUAUCAGAAGUGCGAAUGCUGACAUAAGUAACGAUAAAGCGGGUGAAAAGCCCGCUCGCCGGAAGACCAAGGGUUCCUGUCCAACGUU
rnacentral:rRNA from 1 species